CGAACGUUAAAUCGAUCUCACAUCCUCUCUCUCUCUUUGUUAUGUCUUUGUCUAUGUCAUUCUUACCUUAACAUUUCAUUCAUUCUUACAUAAACCAAAACAAAACUCCAUUCUCUCUCUCUCUCUCUCUCUACAAAUUCAACCCAUCUUCAUCUUCAUCUUCAUCAACCACCCAUCACACAAAAACUCCAAACACGACAACCUCAAACACACACAAAAUCAAAAAACAAUUUUUUUUUAUUUUGAAAAUCCAGUGUUGUUUCUUUCAUUUUCUCCCUACACACUGUUUUUGGAACAUUCAUCAUCAUCAUUGAUAAUCAAGUAUGGAACCUGAAAGAUCAAAACCACUCCACAACUUUUCAUUACCACCCAUGAAAUGGGGAACACAACGUCUACUAAGAUGUGUCAACCCCCCCGACCCUUCACCUCUCAAUCGCAAUUCACCCCAAUCCGACCCUAAUCGCAAAAACCACGAAACCGUCGUUCGCGAAAGAAUCAUGGGUGAUCUAACUGUCGCUGCAACAAAACUUCAAGUUUCUAUUUUUGAAGAAAAUGCUGAUGCUCAUGCUUCUCUUGUUGUUGGUGCUUCCAAUGCUUCUGCAAUCAGGCCUUGGAAUUUGAGAACAAGAAGAGCUGCGUGUAAAGCACCGCCUUCUCCUUCGCCGAUACCGCCACCGCCACCUAGGGAUGAAGGAAGAAGGUUUUUUGAUGUUGGGUCUUCUUCACCUUCGCCUGUCAUGAUGAUGAAGAAGAAGAAAACGGUUAUGGUGAAUGAAAAAGUUAAAUUCUCUGUUUCUCUUUCUAAGGAAGAGGUUGAACAAGAUUUUUGGGCUUUGGCUGGGACUAGACCACCCAGAAGGCCCAAGAAGAGGCCCAGAAUUGUUCAGAGACAAUUGAAUACGCUUCUUCCCGGGAUGUGGCUAUCAGAGGUGACUGCAGAGUCAUACAAAGUUUCUGAAGUUCCCGAAUGAGGAGCUGAAAUGAAUGACAAAACCGAAUUCUGGAUGUUCCCAAAUGUUUUUCUUGGUGACUUCCUUCAACAUUGUCUACAUAAAUAAUGGUUUUAGUAAGCAUCUGAGGCGAAAAAGAAACAAAAAUGAGUAAAGCGCGGGAAAAUGUCAAAAGUCGAAAAAUCUCCAAACAAAAUCCAGAGGGCUACUACGGCCACCCGUAGCAGCUACUAUGGGUCGUAGCAGUUAAACCCUAGAUAUGCCCUCAUUUUGAAGUUCCCAUGCAAAAAGCAAAGGCCUCUUACAACCACGUGUAGCAGUUGCUACAGGUCGUAGAAGAGUGGAAUGUCAUCUCUUAAUUUGUUUCCUUUUUUAGACCGAUUUCAUCUAUUUUUGGAAUUUGGCAUGUUUAGAUGUGAUAUUUUCUGAUAUAAUGAUUAUUGAUCAGUGAGAUAUUCAUCCUAGUUUAGACUUUUAUAUAAAACUCACAGUUAGUUGUGAGUUUAGGGAUUCAAGUUUUAUUUUCUAAGAUUUUUACGUAUUUUAUAUUCUCCAUGUACUCAAGUCUCCAUUGGAGCACU